GGGUGCGAUCAUACCAGCGUUAAUGCACCAGAUCCUAUCAGAACUCUGCAGUUAAGCGCACUUGGGCUAGAAUAGUACUGGGAUGGGUGACCUCC
rnacentral:rRNA from 1 species